rnacentral:rRNA from 1 species
CCUACGAGAGGCUGCAGUGGGGAAUAUUGGACAAUGGGCGAAAGCCUGAUCCAGCCAUGCCGCGUGUGUGAAGAAGGCCUUCGGGUUGUAAAGCACUUUCAGUGGGGAAGAAAGCCUUGGGGCUAAUACCCUCGAGGAAGGACAUCACCCACAGAAGAAGCACCGGCUAACUCCGUGCCAGCAGCCGCGGUAAUACGGAGGGUGCGAGCGUUAAUCGGAAUUACUGGGCGUAAAGCGCGCGUAGGCGGUCUGAUAAGCCGGUUGUGAAAGCCCCGGGCUCAACCUGGGAACGGCAUCCGGAACUGUCAGGCUAGAGUGCAGGAGAGGAAGGUAGAAUUCCCGGUGUAGCGGUGAAAUGCGUAGAGAUCGGGAGGAAUACCAGUGGCGAAGGCGGCCUUCUGGACUGACACUGACGCUGAGGUGCGAAAGCGUGGGUAGCAAACAGGAUUAGAUACCCCUGUAGUC